GAUGAACGCUAGCUACAGGCUUAACACAUGCAAGUCGAGGGACCGGCGCACGGGUGAGUCACACGUAUCCAACCUGCCCUUUACUCGGGGAUAUCCUUUCGAAAGAAAGAUUAAUACCCGAUGUAAAGGAUGGGGAUGCGUUACAUGAGGUUGUUGGGGAGGUAACGGCUCACCAAGCCUUCGAUGGUGAGGGGUUCUGAGAGGAAGGCCCGCCACAAUGGAAACGAGACCCGGUCCAAACUCCUACGCGAGGCAGCGGUGAUGAAUAUUGGUGAAUGGGCGUUAGCCUGAACCGGCCAAGUAUCGUGAAGGAUGAAGGGUAAUGGGUAAUAAAUUUCUUUUAUAUUAGGAUAUGUAUUAUAUGAAUAAGGACCGGCUAACUCCGUGCCAGCAGCCGCGGUAAUUC
rnacentral:rRNA from 1 species